AACCCAUGGUGAGGGCACCUUCGCAAUAGAUCCAUGUAUCUCUCCCAUGCAUCGUAAAGUGUUUCUAUGUCCAUCUGCACAAAAGAAGAAAUAUCAUUACGUAACUU
rnacentral:snoRNA from 1 species